UACGUAGGGGGCGAGCGUUGUCCGAAGUUACUGGGCGUAAAGCGCGCGUAGGCGGGUCUUUAAGUGAGGGGUGAAAGGUUCGGGCUCAACCCGGACACUGCCUUUCAUACUGGGGACCUUGAGUGCGGGAGGGGCGAGUGGAAUGGUCGGUGUAGCGGUGAAAUGCGUAGAUAUCGGGAGGAACACCGGUGGCGAAGGCGGCGACCUGGGUAGAUACUGACGCUGAGGUGCGAAAGCGUGGGGAGCAAACAGG
rnacentral:rRNA from 1 species